rnacentral:rRNA from 1 species
UACGAAGGGGGCUAGCGUUGCUCGGAAUUACUGGGCGUAAAGGGCGCGUAGGCGGAUAUUUAAGUUGGGGGGUGAAAUCCCGGGGCUCAACCUCGGAAUUGCCUUCAAAACUGGAUAUCUUGAGUUCGGGAGAGGUGAGUGGAACUGCGAGUGUAGAGGUGAAAUUCGUAGAUAUUCGCAAGAACACCAGUGGCGAAGGCGGCUCACUGGCCCGGUACUGACGCUGAGGUGCGAAAGCGUGGGGAGCAAACAGG